rnacentral:rRNA from 1 species
AUUGAACGCUGGCGGCAGGCCUAACACAUGCAAGUCGGACGGUAGCACAGAGAGCUUGCUCUUGGGUGACGAGUGGCGGACGGAUGAGUAAUGUCUGGGGAUCUGCCCGAUAGAGGGGGAUAACCACUGGAAACGGUGGCUAAUACCGCAUAACGUCGCAAGACCAAAGAGGGGGACCUUCGGGCCUCUCACUAUCGGAUGAACCCAGAUGGGAUUAGCUAGUAGGCGGGGUAAUGGCCCACCUAGGCGACGAUCCCUAGCUGGUCUGAGAGGAUGACCAGCCACACUGGAACUGAGACACGGUCCAGACUCCUACGGGAGGCAGCAGUGGGGAAUAUUGCACAAUGGGCGCAAGCCUGAUGCAGCCAUGCCGCGUGUAUGAAGAAGGCCUUCGGGUUGUAAAGUACUUUCAGCGGGGAGGAAGGCGGUGAGGUUAAUAACCUCACCGAUUGACGUUACUCGCAGAAUAAGCACCGGCUAACUCUGUGCCAGCAGCCGCGGUAA